GGACCCGCACAAGUAGUGGAGCAUGUGGUUUAAUUCGAAGAUACGCGCAGAACCUUACCAACACUUGACAUGUUCGUCGCGACUUUGAGAGAUCAAAGUUUUCGGUUCGGCCGGACGAAACACAGGUGCUGCAUGGCUGUCGUCAGCUCGUGUCGUGAGAUGUUGGGUUAAGUCCCGCAACGAGCGCAACCCUCACUUUUAGUUGCCAUCAUUUAGUUGAGCACUCUAAAAGAACUGCCAGUGAUAAGCUGGAGGAAGGCGGGGAUGACGUCAAGUCCUCAUGGCCCUUACGUGUUGGGCUACACACGUGCUACAAUGGCAUUUACAAUGAGAUGCAAAGAGGCGACUCCAAGCAAAUCUCAAAAAGAUGCCUCAGUUCGGAUUGUACUCUGCAACUCGAGUACAUGAAGCUGGAAUUGCUAGUAA
rnacentral:rRNA from 1 species